rnacentral:rRNA from 1 species
AGAGUUUGAUCCUGGCUCAGGAUGAACGCUAGCGGCGCGCCUUAUGCAUGCAAGUCGCACGGUCCCGCAAGGGACAGUGGCAAACGGGUGAGUAAUGGAUAAGUAACCUGCCCUUAAGUGGGGGAUAACACUUCGAAAGAAGUGCUAAUACUGCAUGUGGUGCUCUUUCACAAGAAGGAUCACUAAAACCGCAAGGUGCUUGAGGAGGGGCUUGUCUCCGAUUAGCUAGUUGGUGGGGUAACGGCCUACCAAGGCGAUGAUCGGUAGCUGGUCUGAGAGGAUGGUCAGCCACACUGGGACUGAGACACGGCCCAGACUCCUACGGGAGGCAGCAGCAAGGAAUCUUGGGCAAUGGGCGAAAGCCUGACCCAGCGACGCCGCGUGAGGGAUGACGGCCUUCGGGUUGUAAACCUCUUUUCUCAGGGAAGAAUAAUGACGGUACCUGAGGAAUAAGUCUCGGCUAACUACGUGCCAGCAGCCGCGGUAAUACGUAGGAGGCGAGCGUUAUCCGGAUUUAUUGGGCGUAAAGUGGGCGUAGGUGGUCUUUCAAGUCGGAUGUGAAAUCUCCCGGCUCAACUGGGAGGGGUCAUCCGAUACUGUUGGACUUGAGUACAGCAGGGGAAAAUGGAAUUCCCGGUGUAGUGGUGAAAUGCGUAGAUAUCGGGAGGAACACCAGAGGCGAAGGCGAUUUUCCAGGCUGAAACUGACACUGAGGCCCGAAAGCGUGGGGAGCGAACAGGAUUAGAUACCCUGGUAGUCCACGCCUUAAACUAUGGGUACUAGGUAUAGGGAGUAUCGACCCUCUCUGUGCCGAAGCUAACGCUUUAAGUACCCCGCCUGGGGAGUACGGUCGCAAGACUAAAACUCAAAGGAAUUGACUGGGGCCCGCACAAGCAGCGGAGCGUGUGGUUUAAUUCGAUGCUACACGAAGAACCUCACCAAGGCUUGACAUGUUAGAAGUAGUGAACCGAAAGGGGAUCGACCUGUCAAAUCAGGAGCUAUCACAGGUGCUGCAUGGCUGUCGUCAGCUCGUGCCGUGAGGUGUAUGGUUAAGUCCUGCAACGAGCGCAACCCUUAUUGCCAGUUAUAUUCUCUGGCGAUACUGCCUCGCAAAACGGGGAGGAAGGUGGGGAUGACGUCAAGUCAGCAUGGCCUUUAUGCCUUGGGCUACACACACGCUACAAUGGGCGGCACAAUGGGUUGCCACCGGGUGACCGGGAGCUAAUCCCAUCAAAACUGUUCUCAGUUCGGAUUGAGGGCUGCAACUCGCCCUCAUGAAGCUGGAAUCGCUAGUAACCGCGUAUCAGCCACGACGCGGUGAGUACGUUCUCGGGCUUUGUACACACCGCCCGUCAAGCCAAGAGAGUCGGGAAUACCCGAAG